AAUGAGUCUCAGAAAAAGCCUCAUGCCAGGCAGAGGGAAAGUGUUAAGGCCUCUAUAUGCAUAGAGUCUCUUUGUCAGAGUAAUGUGUCUUUGGAGACAGUGACUGGAGUGAGCACUACAGGGGGAGAAUUCAGUAUUCUCCUGACCGGGACUCUUUACCUACAGGCUGGAGAGUAUGUAUCUAUUCUUAUUGACAAUGGGACAGGCUCAGCCCUCACAAUUCUCCAAGACAGUCUGUUUUCUGGCAUUCUUAUUGGAGUAUGAGGACACAAACAAAACACAACCAAUGACUACAAAGAAGCCCAUUUUUACAGUGUUGACAAAAUACAUAUCUUUAUUAGGUAAGGUAUUCAGGACAUAUUAGAAUACUAAUUUCAUAAAAGGGAGGACUCUUUUCAAGCAUCUAAAAGAGACUCUACGUAUUACCACUGUUGCAAAGGGCAGCAGGAUUGCACUGCUAUUUCUUUCCAAAAUAAUGGUAACAUUUAAACUCUGUUCAUAGAGGUGUACGUAUUUUUUCAUGUGGUAUGUGUACGCAUUCCAUUCUAACAGGGCUGAAGUUUUAUUUAUUUGCAUUUGCUUUUUGAAAGGAUAUUGAUAUUUGAGUAUAUUUGCAAUAAAAUGUUUCCAUAACUGCUGAAACAUGCUCUGGGAAUUUAUUUCAGGGAAUACAGAGAUUUGUAUGAAUAGUACAGUUCUUCUUACUGCCUGACAAAAGUGUUUCAACAUGCAUUUGAAGCUUCAUGAAAGAUUUUCAUGUUUUUUGAUUGAUGACAACCAUUUCAGAAAAUAAAAAAGUAUUAAUGGCAGUAAUAAAGUAACUACUACCACAUUUGCAGGGUAAGUGGGGUGAAAAAAGCAACAGCAGCCGCUUAUUUAGGUCUUGAUUCCACAGAAUUCUAGCAAAAGGGACAAAUGGAAAUUUUUACUUUAAGCCUUUUAAAUGUUUGUAUUAUUUGGUAAUGCUGUUAAAUUUCAUUGUGCAUGAA